GACGAACGCUGGCGGCGUGCUUAACACAUGCAAGUCGAACGGAAAGGCCCUGCUUUUGUGGGGUGCUCGAGUGGCGAACGGGUGAGUAGCACGUGAGUAACCUGCCCCUGACUUUGGGAUAACUUCAGGAAACUGGGGCUAAUACCGGAUAGGAGCUCCUGCUGCAUGGUGGGGGUUGGAAAGUUUCGGCGGUUGGGGAUGGACUCGCGGCUUAUCAGCUUGUUGGUGGGGUAGUGGCUUACCAAGGCUUUGACGGGUAGCCGGCCUGAGAGGGUGACCGGCCACAUUGGGACUGAGAUACGGCCCAGACUCCUACGGGAGGCAGCAGUGGGGAAUAUUGCACAAUGGGCGGAAGCCUGAUGCAGCAACGCCGCGUGCGGGAUGACGGCCUUCGGGUUGUAAACCGCUUUCGCCUGUGACGAAGCGUGAGUGACGGUAAUGGGUAAAGAAGCACCGGCUAACUACGU
rnacentral:rRNA from 1 species